rnacentral:lncRNA from 1 species
CAAAUUUCUUUCCUUCACUGUCAGAUUGUUCUGCAAGUAGUUGAUGUUUGGGAGAACGAAAAAGAUGCAAUUAUGACUUUUUAAGGUAUCUAAAGCUUUUGUCUAAACUGAUUUGUGAAACUUAAAGCUUCUGGUUAGCUUGUAUGUUCUCUUUUCAAGUCAAAUGGCUAGCUAGGAAAUUUUGAGAAUAAAGAUGUGAUCCAGGUAAUAUGAAGGCUGGCAAUGUGAUCUAGAAACCAUUGAAUGUUUUAGGCUUUUAGCUACUUUAACAAAAGAAAGUAAGACUCUCUCUUUCGUAUGGCAAAUUAAGGUAUAACAACUUUACUCACCAAACAUUUCUUUAUGUCCAAUUCCAAACUUUGUAGGGCAGACCAUUCAAUCAGUGGGGGAGGCGGUUUUUAAUUUUUUUAUUCAAAUCAAAUGAUUUGGCUUGGCAUAAUGGUAAGUCAUUUAAAUUAAAUUUUAGAGAUUUAGAUUCAAUUCCUUCUAGACCCAAAUUAUGCAUUGCUUAGCUCCUUAAAUUUAAAAUUAUUUCUUUUAUCCUUAUGAAGUAAACUCAAAUUUAUGCAUUGCUUAACUGCUUAAAUUUAAAAUUAUUUUUCUUUUAUCCUUAUAGAGUAAAUCAAAAUUUUGAAAUUAUUUUUCUUUUUUUGUCAUAGAGAAAACCGAAUUUCCUUAAUAAAAGAUACAUUGCUUAAUUACCUAACGAGUAUAAUUUUUUAUUUUGAUUUUUUUUACAAUCUGUUGAUUCAAUUUGACCAUUUAUGUAAUAUGUAUUUUUUCAAAAAAUACUUCAUUUUUUUAAGCGUUUCCUUAGUAAAAGAUACAUUGCUUAAUUGCUUAACAAGUAUAAUUUUUUAUUUUGGUUUUUCUUACAAUCUAUUGAUUGAUUUGAGCAUUUAUACAAUAUGUACUUUUCUUAAAAACUAUUUAUUUUUUUAAGCAUAACAUAAUUAAAAUAUUUUGUACUAUCGUAUAUAAUAUAUUAUGGUCCUAUGGAGUAAAAGAUGGAUUGCUUAAUUGCCUAAAGAGUAUAAUUUUUUACUUUGAUUUUUUUUACAAUCUGUUAAUUCGAUUUGAGCACUUAUGUAAAAUAUAAUUAAAACAUUUGAAUGAAUAACUUUCGAAAAAGGAAUGUAAUUAAAAUAUUUAAAAAAUUUCAAUAAUCUUACCUUACUUUUUCAAAGUAAAUAAGUACAAAAUGAUUACUAGAACCAUUGACAUGAAUUUAAUUAUCGAUAAAUUUGAAAGUAUGAAAGCAGUUAAACACAACUUAAAAUGCAUAAUGUGAAAAUUUAAUUUUUUUUGUUUGUUUUAUAUCUAUUUAUAUUAAUAAAUUUGAAAAACUAUAUUCAAAUUGUAAAUAAAAUUUUAAAUUAUAAUUUAAUUUUAUUUAAAAAAAUAAUUAAUUUUUUAUUCUGCAUCGAAUCAUUAAUCUGAUCUUUGAUCUUGUAUGAUUACUUUUCAGUCCCUCUUCAUGUAAAAUGUUAAAUUCAUCACUACAUUUAAUGUGGUCUGACUAUUUUCCAGAACAUUUUGAGUCCGUGGUGCUACUUCUGCUGCCCACACCGGCUUUCUGGUUUCAAGGGGUUUUAGCUAAUUGCCCCAACUGCAACCCAAAUACAUUUAAGAAGUGUUGAAUCCAGUUUGUUAUCAGAUAGAGAGGGAUUCCAAACAAAUAGGCCGAAGCCUAUCUUAUCUGAAAAGAUAGAAAUAUGGACUACGUUGUUGUUCUACUAGAAUUAUUAAUUGUUUUCACACCAUUAAUGGCUUAAACACCAUAAUCACUCAAUGAUAUAGAUAUCCUUCAAUCUAGCUUUUGAGGUGUAAUCCAUGAAUAGGUACAUCAAAUCUAAAAAAAGGAUUUAGGCACCAUAUAAUCGGCAAAUUGAAAAUGCCCAACACGGAAACAAUUGUAAGAACGAUGUCCUGCCAACCGGAUGUAAAGACACCAUUGGACAUUGAUUUUCCUCGUUCACACCAUCUUCUCUCUUGGUCCAAUUCAUGAAUACCUUUUUCUGAAGGUUGGACCUUGCAUUUCUUUUUUUUUUUUCACCUACUUUUUUGUGAAGAGAGGGACAUUAUUGGACGGUUGUGACUAUUUCUAGCUUGGUUAUGCGAUGGGAAAUCACGUCAAGCUUGGGGCCUGCUUUGAAUUUGAACACUGUUUGCUUGCUCCGGCAAAGAAGGCAAAAUUAAUAUAGCUUCUUGUUAGCGUCUCCCUAGCUUAUCUCAUCUAGUCAUAACACAACGCUGCCUCGAGUUUUUCCUAUGGAAAAGGGAAAGUUUAGUAAAAGGUAAAUCGCAGCCAAGUGAAGAACCACAUUGCAUCUAAUAAUGCCAUCUUUUGCUUGGAGAAUAUUAAGAAAGAAAAAGAAUAGAGCGAAUCUUGUUUUAACUUACUUUAUAGUUCCAUUAUGGGGCUUCACGAUAAGUAUCAUGUUUAAUUUGAUUAGAGAUAAAAUGCUCACAGAAGGAAGAGAUUCCCUUGCUCUGCUUUGUAGCAUGAAAAUCGUAUUUUGAGUUAAAAGUUCAAGGGAAAGUCAGAGGCAAGAACCUUCAACUCCAAAUCCCAAUCAAAAGCUUCAAAAUCCCCAUUUACCCAUCAAAGAACAGAACAAGAUUGAAACAUAUACAUUUCUUGAAAAUCAUGUUAAGAAAGACAUUGGAUUUGCUGGCACGCUAUCCUUCAGUCCAAACAUCAUUAAUCAAGUACAUGAACAACCUCUAGCUCUAUCAACAAUUAAUACAGUACAUAACAUGUGAAGUCUCAAACACCAGCCAAAACCAGAUGUGCUAUGGUAAGGAUCGGCAAAAAAUAAAGAAACAUCCAAUAUCCAUCUGCAGAUUCCUUACAAUUUCAU